ensembl:lncRNA
AUGGUUUUUAUCUUUAUUAUCUAUAGGAUCUGUCCGGAUAUUUCUGUGCAUGACCAGCCAAUGGAGGAAGAGAGGGUGGUGGAUGAAAUCCAGGCAAAAUCCAGUUCCCCUUUACCCACUGGGCUUCCCAUUAACUGGGCGCUCAUCACUGGCCCUGUCCCUGAGCCUGUUUUCCCCGCACCCUCUUUGAGCACCCAAUUUCCUCCUCCUCCUCAGAGUUCAGCCGUGCAUGCACUACAGACCAAGGUGAAGUCAACUACACAGAGAAGGAUAAGAGGGAGGGACAGAGAGAGGGAAAGAGAAAGGCUGAACACAGAGAUGCUGGUCAGCAGUCCCGCAUCUGAAGUCUUUCUGAGACAGAGACCCAGAGGUAAGGGUCAGGUUUCUCUGCCCGCCGCCUCCUGGCGAUCAGGUGCUGCAAAGAACUUGAGCAGCAGUGACGAAGAGGAGGAGGUAGAAGUGCAAGUCAGGUUGGAGAUCCAUAGCCCUCCUGCUGAAGCGCAGGGGGGGCAGGGGUUUCAGCGGGGGGAGGAAACUGAAGAGGAGCAGUCAGAUAGUAAUAUAGGCAAGAUCAGUUUUCUGACAGGCCAGUAUCGUGGGCUCGGGGCUGGUACCAGUUUGGAGAGUCUAUUGUCUGAUAACUCGAGCAGUAGUAAGGAUGACCAAUCACCUCCUCCUCCACCACCACCUGUGCUGUCCUCAACUUCUGCCUCCACCGCUGCUUCUACAUCAUCUUCUUCCUCCACAUCUUCUAUGUCCACCAGACACUGGGCACCGCCCAAAGGCUUCUGGAGAGUGGACUACACCCAGACAGAAGCACUCGCAGAGCCCCAGAGGGAGUCUAAACCAGCUGAAACAGUCACCAGGAGCGAGGUAGGAGGUACGACGGAUGAAAACGAUGCAUCCUCAGAAUUCAAGCACUCCGACAGCGUGCAACGCUACCUGGACAGGUGUGAACAGAAGGAGGCCGAUGCCGGUGACCCUGCCAAAGGAUUGUGCAGCUCAGACAGCUGGGAGAGCGUGUCUUCACAAAGUGGGGUGCUCUCGGGCGAUGAGAAGCUGAAGGUGAAGCAGAGGGCCUAUGCAAAGUUAAGAGAGAGGCAACACAACAGGGAGGAGAGAGAGCAGAGUGGAGGAGAGGGUGCCAGCUGUGAUGGGGACACACCAUACAAAGUGGAUGAUAAAGUCACAUGUGCCCAUGGGAUUUUGGACAGCUCAGACUCAGCCAUUCUUGCUCAGGAACUUGAACCCUAUUUGAGGUCACUUCUUAUAAUCAGUGACGAGCUUCCUCUGAGCCCAAGACACGAGGAAGCCAAGCGUCUCCUGGACCGGGCACGACUCAAGGCUCGCUCCAGUCAUGUUAAAGGCGAAUGGCCCUCCAGACGCUCUCAUUCUGAUCAGAGAUCCGCCGCGACAAAGCAGCAGAUUGAAUCUCCCAUCCCAAUGCCAGAGCAGAAGGCUGUUCAAGCCAAAGAUGUUACAGCUCAGACUGUAUCUGGUCCCCUCCUUGUCCCCACUCAAAGAGACACGUCCCCCGUUGAACAAGGAGGUCGAUUGAGACGCUACGGUUGUUCCCCCACACGGGUACGCUUUGAGGAUGAAUCAGAGAAAGAAGCAGAGUCUCGGUACUUGGAUAGAGUCCGACAGCGUGGCAGGACUGCGGUGCCUAAGUCCAAGAGUAAAGAAAGCAAUACAGAUUCUAGCAGUAGUGGUUCAGAGAGGAGCAAAAGCCACAGAAGUGUCUCCAUGCCUCCCUCACAGAUGCGAGACGAUGCAGGUGCCAGCAGGUGAAACCACAACAGUGAUUAAAGAGAUAAUAGUGCUGGUGAAGAAAUGUGAGGCCUGUGGCUCCGUAGUCAGGGAACCUCAACCCGUCCUAUCACCAUCAGAUCCACAGAACGCUGAGCCACAGCAGCCUGGCAACCCAGAGGACCCACGGGGGAAACCGGUUCCUCGAUGGGUGCCUCCAAACAGGCCAGAGACAAGUACUCGCCCUAAGGCUCCUCUAACUGUUACUUUUGCCGGAGCUUAUGUGCUGGGGGAAAACAAAGAGAGCAGCACAGGCUGGAAGUCGUCUGGGUUUGGGAAACUUAGGCGAAGGAGCAGGAAAGGAGAAAUUCGUCUCGAGUCUGGCCAUGGCCCUUACGGCCCAUCAUGGGCUCAACGACGUAACUCAAAUCCCAGGAACAGGGUCAACUUGAGCAGGGGUGUUUCCUUUGCCCCUGGCAGCCCCAUCACUCUUGAACCAUCUUUGCUGGGGGCAUCUGGCGGACCCAGAGAACCGCCAACCCCAUCGCUACCUAUAAAGUCAGCCCUAAAGUCAAGCUCAAGGAAUCGCUCUGCUGCUGGUCAGUCUACAGUUCCGUUCCAGAUGACAUCAAAUCAGGGAGGAGAGGGCGGACCACAGCAUUCGACCCCCUGGACUCUCCGGACGCAAGGAGGGAGACCCCAGUGACUUUAAGCCAAGGGGCACCUGCAGCCAGCAGCUCACUGCCGUGUGUCAGACCCUCCACUCUGAGGUAUCCCCAGCCCGAUUCAACACAGAGGUGCCAGCUGCUGAACUCUGGGAUGCCACUCCAGAUGGAACAG